AUGUACAUCCUACCGGAGAGGUUAGCUGCUAAAAUUGACACGCUGGAGGCAACGCAAUCGGUGGACACGUUCUAUGGUAGGGAACUGAAAGACCACCGGUGCAAAAUGGGAAGUCAAUUGGGAUACGACAAGUUUGUGAAGGCCCUUAGGUUGAGAUGGUCUUCUAUCACAGGAAGGAACCAACAACCGGUAAUCCUUGCGAUGCGUUGGACCUCGACUUAUUCUAUGCUUCAAACAUCAUCACCAUUGACAACGGCGCGUGAGCCCCUUUUUUGGACUCCCUUAUGGAAAGAAGCCAAAGAAGUUUCACAAGGAAGAAGUGGAAGGUGUGAAGCUUUGAAGGAUGAUGCGUGGAUUUUCUGGAUCAAAAUCUCCACCAACCCUACCGUGGCUCAUAUCCUGGAAUACAUAGUCCUUUGGGCGCUCAUCAAUGACUUGGUGAAAAUGUCGAGGAAGACAUUAGUUGGAAGCGUACGGCCAUCGGGCACUAUUCGGCAGCCUCUGUAUAUAAGGUGCAAGGGAAUUCGGCAGCCUCUGUACAUAAGGUGCAAGGGAACCACGCAGGCCGAUAUGAAGCACUUGGCGUGGAGGGCUUGGGCACUGCCCUAA
rnacentral:rRNA from 1 species